GAUUAUUUAGUUUAAUUUAAAACAAAUGUUUUGAAAACAUCAAAUAAGAUUUGAAUCUUAAUAAUUG
rnacentral:tRNA from 1 species